GAUUCUCCUUGUGUCAAUGCAAACACUUUUGAAACAGUCUUACAACGUGUCCGGAGAAAUAAUACUUGCUUUCGUACAUUUAUUGAUAAUUAUGGCAGAGAGAGGGAUAAUCAGAGUUAUGCAAUGGGCGACGGUCAAGACUAUGUGCCUUUCGACUUUUGUCCUCUGUUAAAUGUUA
rnacentral:sRNA from 1 species